rnacentral:rRNA from 1 species
UACGUAGGGUGCGAGCGUUGUCCGGAAUUAUUGGGCGUAAAGAGCUCGUAGGCGGUGUGUCGCGUCGGUCGUGAAAACUUGGGGCUUAACUCUGAGCUUGCGGUCGAUACGGGCAUCACUGGAGUUCGGCAGGGGAGACUGGAAUUCCUGGUGUAGCGGUGAAAUGCGUAGAUAUCGGAAGGAACAUCAGUGGCGAAAGCGGCUUCCUGGACCAGUACCGACGUUCAGCACGAAAGCGUGGGGAGCAACAGG